GAGCGGCGAACGGGUGAGUAACACGUGAGUAACCUGCCUCUGGCUUUGGGAUAACCCUCGGAAACGGGGGCUAAUACCGAAUAUUCAGCGUCUGCGGCAUCGUGGGUGUUGGAAAGUUUUUCGGCUGGAGAUGGGCUCGCGGCCUAUCAGCUUGUUGGUGGGGUAAUGGCCUACCAAGGCUUCGACGGGUAGCCGGCCUGAGAGGGCGACCGGCCACACUGGGACUGAGACACGGCCCAGACUCCUACGGGAGGCAGCAGUGGGGAAUAUUGCACAAUGGGCGGAAGCCUGAUGCAGCGACGCCGCGUGAGGGAUGACGGCCUUCGGGUUGUAAACCUCUUUCGACAGGGACGAAGCGAGAGUGACGGUACCUGGAGAAGAAGCACCGGCCAACUACGUGCCAGCAGCCGCGGUAAGACGUAGGGUGCGAGCGUUGUCCGGAUUUAUUGGGCGUAAAGAGCUCGUAGGCGGCUCGUCGCGUCGACCGUGAAAACCCGCAGCUUAACUGCGGGCUUGCGGUUGAUACGGGCGGGCUAGAGUUCGGUAGGGGAGACUGGAAUUNCU
rnacentral:rRNA from 2 species